GAGCAGCUGGUUUCAGGCUUGGCGCACUUGGAAUGUAAUGUGGGAUCUGGAAAGUUGCAUAUGCACUCCCAGGAUUGGUGGGUUGAAGACCUUUCUGCACUGAGAAUCGACCACUAUCGGCGUGUGAUUGCUGCAAUGAGGAGAAAUGGGGUGAGGCCAGAGAGUAUUGGCACCUCUAUUACACACUAUGCCCAGACAUCGCUAAAGGGUGUUGAAAGACGCCAUGUAUGGGACUCAGGUCCCUUUGUCGGAGACGAUCAAAGAAUGAUAGUCGAAACACUCAUCGAUCUGUUGGCAGCUGAAAAUAUUACGACGGUUACCUUGUCAUUCUUGUUUGGCAUGCUGAGGAUGGCAAUUGAAGUUGAUGCAAGUCUAGAUUGUAGAAUCGAAGUCGAGAAAAGGAUUGGUCUCCAGCUUGAGAUGGCAUCACUAGACGAUCUCCUGAUCCCCUCGACGCAAACAAG
rnacentral:lncRNA from 1 species